UCCAGUUUCCAGCUCCCACAUCCCAACCACCCCCUACAGAAACGGAGGCGGAGCGCGCGGCUGGCCGAAUCACCUCCCCACCGCCCCUCCGCCGGCCAUCCUCCCACCGCGCGUCCGAAUGCGCUGCCGCCACUUCCUAACCUCCCUUCUCUCCCCCCUCUCAUUCGCAAACCCCCCUUCUCGCCCCCUCGCCAGCCGCGCCCGCGCCGUGGCCCAGCCGCCCGCCCAGCGCCGCGCCGCCCUCGCCGAGCCCGACGUGGGCAUCUCCCGGUUCGCCUCCUCACUCCCCGGCUUCCGCGGCGCCCUCAAGCAGCGCUACUCCGACUUCGUCGUCCACGAGGUCGCCCGCGACGGCACCCUCGUCCGCCUCACCUCCUUCGACCUCCCGGACGAGCGUGCAGAUACGGAUGACGAGGCCGACGCUGACCUCCCGCACGCACUUGAAUCGUUCCGGCUGCUCUGUGGUGACGCCGAUUGUGAGGCGUUGAGGGGAUUUCUGUCGAGGGUUUCAGAAGGUGAUAGUGAUGUCUCACCGAUCAUUCUCUCCCCUGAUGCCGACAAGGCUCAUCGCUUGGAGGUGCAUGACUUCUUCAAGAGGAACUUCAUCUUCUUGGUGACGGACACCGUUGAGCACAGCGAUGGGGUCCAGAGGUGUAUUAGGGUGCGGUUGAGGUCAGGGCCACGUGGCCGGAGGAACAGGACGGGCACAGGAAGUUCUGAACCUUCAGGCUGGAGAGAUGACAGGCCAUUUGAUAGUAGAGGAUCUGUAACCUGGCCUUAUCAUCUUGGGAAGUUUCUCAGGUUUCAUCUCUACAAAGAGAACAAGGACACCCAGGAGGCACUAAGAGUUAUAGGAAAAAUGUUAGGGCUUCAGCCACGAUCUUUUAGGAUUGCAGGGACAAAGGAUAAACGUGCUAUUACAACCCAGCAGGUAACACUUUUCAAGGUACAUGCCAGUAGGUUGGCUGCUCUAAAUAAUAAACUCACUGGCAUUAAAGUUGGAGAUUUUAAUUAUGUAAAGGAGGGCCUUGUUCUUGGUCAACUCAUGGGAAACCGAUUUACAAUUACCUUAAGGAGUGUUAUCGCAGAAUCAGAAGACAUGAUUAAGGUAGCUGUUGAUGGAUUGAUAAAAAGUGGGUUUAUCAAUUACUACGGUCUGCAGCGUUUUGGUAGUGCUUCAGUACCAACUCAUCUCGUUGGUGCUGCUUUGCUUAGAGGAGAGUGGAGAAGUGCUGUUAGCUUGAUUCUUGAUCCAAGGGAAGGAGAGUGUGAUGACAUGAAUGGGGUGAGGGAACAUUACAAGGAACAUGGUGAUAUUGAUGUGGCAAUUAGGAAUUUUCCUCGGCGUCUCAUAGCAGAGAGGGCUAUCCUUCAGCGUUUGAAGAAGUACCCUGGCAACUAUCUACAAGCACUAAUGGCUAUACCUAGAACACUGAGAUUGAUGUAUGUACAUAGUUACCAGAGUUAUCUAUGGAACCAUGCUGCGAGUAUGAGAGCUGGAAUAUAUGGUUUAUCAGGGGUCAUAGAAGGUGACUUGGUUUACAAAAAAGAAUGUCUUGGAGAAGGAACUGUAACAGAUGCUUCAGAAAAUAAUGAUGACCACACCAACACAUCUGAAAUGGACAUAUUUGCUGAAACACUUCCGGAAGAAACGAUCCAGUCUGUCAAGAUAGCUGAUUCUGAAGAUUUAUUGAAGGCAGUGUACACACUCGAGGAUGUUGUCCUUCCUUUGCCUGGGUGAUGAGCAUUUGCUCUCAGAAACAUUGUUUCCUGGAAAUGAAGUUGCUGGGAUUUACCAUGAAAUAGCUAACAAGGAUGGUAUUAGCCUGACAGAGAGCACCCAUGGAGUCAAGUAAGUUAGUUUGUUCCUAUAUAUGUAUGUUGCUUUCUGAAGCUAGUUUAUAGCUCUGUACGAUAAUUGUGAUCAUAAUGGGCCUUUAUAAAGCGGGUGUUCAAAUAACACAUCCAAAGGAAAAAGGGAAGCGUUUCUAGCCGGCUGUCCGUCCGAGCCACGCACCGGCGGCACGCGCACUAGCCACGCGUCAGCCCUGGCCCACCACCCACCGCUCUCGCUCUCCUUAUCUCUGUGAGAAACCAUGUGAGCCAUUCCGUAUUCUUUCUCCAUCUCUAUCGUUCAUUCUCGUCUUCUUCGCGAGUUUUCCUCUCUCUUUCUCUCUCACCUCUGCUAUCUCCCACAUCAAGCUAGUCCCCUUCUCUUUCCUCUCAUCGCCCUGGCAGAACCAUCCUCCCGACAAACUCCGGUCGGCCAACCGCUGCCUUGUGCCUGGGGGUGCGCUGCUGUAAGGGGUGGGAGGGGAGUGACCACCUGGGGGUUCUUCUGCUGUGACGCCACCGGCAAAGCUACGAGCCGUCUUGGCCACGCCGCGAGCGGUAGAACGCUGUUUUAGUAGGGUAGUGGCCAGGGCGUGCCGGGGUGCUGCGGUGCAAGGUAUGAAGCGGUGCUACGGCGGUGGUCGUGGGCGCUGAGACCGGCUGUGACAGAUGCUGUGUCCGACGGCAACAGAUGCUACAACUAAGGGUAGUGACGUUGAACUGCUGCAGCCGAUGACGUCAACUGCUGCGACCGGCGACCGGCGACGUCGACUGCUGCGACCGGCGACCGGCGACGUCGACUGCUGCGACCGGCGACCGGCGACGUCGACUGCUAGCACCGGUGACUUGGGACGCUGGAACUGGCACCGGAGGCUGGGAUGCGAUCGUCAGCCAUGGGAGCUGCAACCGGCAGCAGCCGGUGCCGGAGAUGAAAGUCACCCGAUUGUGGGAUCGUGGCACUAGAUGCUGGAACCGGCCAGCGACAGAGCUGCAACCAUUGGCAGCAGAAGUUGGAACCCACCGGCGAGUCAUUUUUUGCUGGGACCAGCGACUUCCAGUGUUCUGACGGCGAGCCGUUUUGCUGGGUUCGGCUACCCUCACUGCUGCAACCAGCAUCGAGGCUGCUACUGCUGGGUAGCAGCCGGUGGGGAGCUGCAGUGACGAGCCCGACGUCUAGCCGACAAUGGCGAGCUGUUGCGGGAGUGGGGUGGGUGCGCAUUCGCCGCACAGCCACGGCCUCCCAUGUGGCAUGGUGUGGAGGAGAAACGAGCUGGGGUGAAGGGGAUUUUUGCUGUUGACUUUUGGAUCAGAUCUGAGACGUGGGGGAGGAAGACGACAUGCAGUGUGCGGGAUCCAAUGGUUGGCGCUUGGCGAAUUGGACAGCAUACGUGUGACCGGUCGACCGGCGCCUACCACUGGCCAAGGAAAAAGGGGUUUAAAUAUUGCAUUUGGUCACUAAUAUUGUAUCUUUGGCAUAGCUACUGUGUUAUCUUAUUCAUAUUCAUGCAUUUUUUGAUAUAUCAUUUUAAUAUCCAUUUUUGCAUACUAACCGUUGUGCUGGAUGACACAAAUUUCAAUUGUAAGGGAAUUCUCGAUUACAAGCAUGAAAGGAGGUUACCGUCGUGUAUUACAACGACCUAUUGACUGUGAAUGGAUUUUUUUCCAUACAAUUUAGGAUCGGGUUCCAUUAUCAAAGGGGAUAACAGAACAAAACAAGAAAAAAUAGCAUCCAUGUGCAACCACAAGUUGAAUAACGAAAGCUGCUACUUCAUAGCAACCAAAAUGGACCUACUAACAUCGUCACCAACUAGUUUACAACGAAACAACAAAAGGAAGGGGAAACACAAACAGCCCUAUCAAGCUCGAGCACCAAAAUCAAACACUCCAGCAACUUUUUAACUGUUACAACUCUCCAAACGAUACUAGCAACAGGACAGGCCUCCAAAGAUCCCCUAUUUUUCAUGCUUCACCAUCGUGCUCAGCCGCUUCCUCCAUAUCAUCAUCU